CCUAAAAUUCCCAUGGCAAACUGCUCAGUAACACAUGAUCAACUUACCCUAUAGAGAAAAAUAACCUCGGGAAACUGAGGAUAAUUUUUCAUAAUUGAAAAGGCUUGGAAAAGUUUUUCAACUAAAGGUUAAGAAAAAUGGUUCUUAUCCACUAUAGGAUAGGAUCGUGCUCGAUUAUGGUUGUUGGUGAGGUAACGGCUCACCAAGCCGAUAAUCGAUAGGGGCCGUGAGAGCGGAAGCCCUGAGAUGGGUACUGAGACAACGACCCAGGCCUUACGAGGCGCAGCAGGCGCGAAACCUCAUCAAUACACGAAAGUGUGAAUGGGUUACCCAAAGUGUUCAAUUUUGAACUGUGGUAGGUGAGUAAUGUUCCCUACUAGAAAGGAGAGGGCAAGGCUGGUGCCAGCCGCCGCGGUAAAACCAGCUCUUCAAGUGGUCGGGAUAAUUAUUGGGCUUAAAGUGUCCGUAGCCGGUUUAGCAAGUUCCUGGUAAAAUCAGGUAGCUUAACUAUCUGUAUGCUAGGAAUACUGUUAUACUAGAGGGCGGGAGAGGUCUGAGGUACUACAGGGGUAGGGGUGAAAUCUUAUAAUCCUUGUAGGACCACCAGUGGCGAAGGCGUCAGACUGGAACGUGCCUGACGGUGAGGGACGAAAGCCAGGGGAGCGAACCGGAUUAGAUACCCGGGUAGUCCUGGCCGUAAACGAUGCAUACUAGGUGAUGGCGUGGCCAUGAGCCGUGUCAGUGCCGUAGGGAAACCGUUAAGUGUGCCGCCUGGGAAGUACGGUCGCAAGGCUAAAACUUAAAGGAAUUGGCGGGGGAGCACCACAAGGGGUGAAGCCUGCGGUUCAAUUGGA
rnacentral:rRNA from 1 species